UUGCAGCCAAAGGGAAAGUGGACCUGAAGAACGUGCUCGAGAGUGUCAUGGCUACUCGGCAACCGGCCAUGUUUGAAAAAGACAGGAUUCGUGUUCAAGAUCUGGAAGGCAUCCUGGCCAGCGUGGGCAUCCACCUCACAGCCGAAGAGCUGCAGGAAGCAUUAAAAUAUGCCCCUUUGAAUGCGGAAGGGAAGGUGAACUUAGCAGAAUUCAUGAAGGGGGUGAGAGCAGUCCAGCCCCAUCCCGGGAC